AAGACAAUAGUUUUUGUGGUGGAGAGGAUUGGGUCUUUUGAUAGGAUCAUUUCUAAUUUCUUUUCUCUCAAUUAUCUCAAACUAUUUUAAUUAUAUGGGUGGCUCAAUGUCUAUGAUUAUGACUUAUUAUUAUAUUGUUUUUCCCUUUUUUAUGCUAAAAAAUAGAAUACUUUUAUUAUAUAAACAUACAUAUAUGGUAUUAAAACCAAUUAUUGGUGAGGGGUGUUUUAUUUUUACCCAUCAAAAUCGAUUUUUUUCUCGCUGC
rnacentral:lncRNA from 1 species